UCGGGAAUAUUGCGCAAUGGAGGAAACUCUGACGCAGUGACGCCGCGUGCAGGAAGAAGGUUUUCGGAUUGUAAACUGCUUUAGACAGGGAAGAAACAAGACAGUACCUGUAGAAUAAGCUCCGGCUAACUACGUGCCAGCAGCCGCGGUAAUACGUAGGGAGCAAGCGUUAUCCGGAUUUAUUGGGUGUAAAGGGUGCGUAGACGGGAAAACAAGUUAGUUGUGAAAUCCCUCGGCUUAACUGAGGAACUGCAACUAAAACUAUUUUUCUUGAGUGUUCGAGAGGAAAGUGGAAUUCCUAGUGUAGCGGUGAAAAUGCGUAGAUAUUAGGAGGAACACCAGUGGCGAAGGCGACUUUCUGGACAAUAACUGACGUUGAGGCACGAAAAGUGUGGGGAGCAAACAGGAUUAGAUACC
rnacentral:rRNA from 1 species